UACGUAGGGUGCGAGCGUUGUCCGGAAUUACUGGGCGUAAAGAGCUCGUAGGUGGUUUGUCGCGUUGUUCGUGAAAACCGGGGGCUUAACUCUCGGCGUGCGGGCGAUACGGGCAGACUGGAGUACUGCAGGGGAGACUGGAAUUCCUGGUGUAGCGGUGGAAUGCGCAGAUAUCAGGAAGAACACCCGUGGCGAAGGCGGCUCUCUGGGACGGUACUGACGCUGAGACGCGAAAGCGUGGGGAGCGAACAGG
rnacentral:rRNA from 1 species